rnacentral:rRNA from 1 species
UAGGGAAUCUUCCGCAAUGGACGCAAGUCUGACGGAGCAACGCCGCGUGAGUGAAGAAGGAUUUCGGUUCGUAAAACUCUGUUGUUAGAGAAGAACAGCGCAUAGAGUAACUGUUAUGCGUGUGACGGUAUCUAACCAGAAAGCCACGGCUAACUACGUGCCAGCAGCCGCGGUAAUACGUAGGUCCCGAGCGUUGUCCGGAUUUAUUGGGCGUAAAGCGAGCGCAGGCGGUCAAUUAAGUCUGAUGUGAAAGCCCCCGGCUCAACCGGGGAGGGUCAUUGGAAACUGGUUGACUUGAGUGCAGAAGAGGAGAGUGGAAUUCCAUGUGUAGCGGUGAAAUGCGUAGAUAUAUGGAGGAACACCGGUGGCGAAAGCGGCUCUCUGGUCUGUAACUGACGCUGAGGCUCGAAAGCGUGGGGAGCGAACAGG